AGUGAACGCUGGCGGUAGGCCUAACACAUGCAAGUCGAACGGCAGCACAGUAAGAGCUUGCUCUUACGGGUGGCGAGUGGCGGACGGGUGAGGAAUACAUCGGAAUCUACUUUUUCGUGGGGGAUAACGUAGGGAAACUUACGCUAAUACCGCAUACGACCUACGGGUGAAAGCAGGGGAUCUUCGGACCUUGCGCGAUUGAAUGAGCCGAUGUCGGAUUAGCUAGUUGGCGGGGUAAAGGCCCACCAAGGCGACGAUCCGUAGCUGGUCUGAGAGGAUGAUCGGCCACACUGGAACUGAGACACGGUCCAGACUCCUACGGGAGGCAGCAGUCGGGAAUAUUGGGCAAUGGGCGCAAGCCUGAUCCAGCCAUACCGCGUGGGUGAAGAAGGCCUUCGGGUUGUAAAGCCCUUUUGUUGGGAAAGAAAAGCAGCAGGUUAAUACCCCGCUGUUCUGACGGUACCCAAAGAAUAAGCACCGGCUAACUUCGUG
rnacentral:rRNA from 1 species